GGGCCCGCACAAGCGGUGGAGUAUGUGGUUUAAUUCGAUGCAACGCGAAGAACCUUACCGAGGUUUGACAUCCUGCGAAUCUCUUGGAAACGAGAGAGUGCCUUCGGGAACGCAGUGACAGGUGGUGCAUGGCUGUCGUCAGCUCGUGUCGUGAGAUGUUGGGUUAAGUCCCGCAACGAGCGCAACCCACGUCUUUAGUUGCCAGCAUUUAGUUGGGCACUCUAGAGAGACUGCCGGUGAUAAACCGGAGAAGGUGUGGAUGACGUCAAGUCAUCAUGGCCCUUACGAGUAGGGCUACACACGUGCUACAAUGGCGCAUACAGAGGGCAGCCAACUUGCGAGAGUGAGCGAAUCCCAAAAGUGCGUCGU
rnacentral:rRNA from 1 species